rnacentral:rRNA from 1 species
UUCGUCAAAGUUCAGAUUUGACUUAGUGGCGGACGGGUGAGUAACGCGUAGGCAACCUGCCUUAUGCAGAGGGAUAGCCAUUGGAAACGAUGAUUAAAACCUCAUAAUGCCAAGGGUUCACAUGUACUUUUGGCCAAAGAUUUAUCGGCAUAAGAUGGGCCUGCGUCUGAUUAGCUGGUUGGUGAGGUAACGGCUCACCAAGGCGACGAUCAGUAGCCGACCUGAGAGGGUGAUCGGCCACAUUGGAACUGAGACACGGUCCAAACUCC